CACACACACACACACACACACACACACACGAGUUCCCUGCCUUCAGUCCAACAGCUGAUGUCAGUGUGUACGCGUGAGGGAGUGCACGCGCGUGUGUAUCAGCACUUAACGAUAAAUACGACAACGAAGUAAACGAAGAAGAAAACAACGAAGAGAUAACGAAGGAAAAACGAUAAUCAGUGAGUGUGUGUGAGCGAACGGAAGGAAACUUGUGACGAAUCAGGAAAGGAGAAAAGAAACGAAGAAAUUAGAAAAGGUACGCAGGAAAAGUAGAAAACAAGACACUAACGAAGAAGAAGAAGAAGAAGAAGAAGAAGAAGAAAUGAAAAUUAAUUGAAAGCAAAAUAUAACGGGGAGAAAAAUAAAAUAAAAUAGAAAAAAAAGAAAGAAAAUUUGAGAAAAAGGGAAGACAUUUUUUAUAUAAGACUUAGCUGUGCCUAAAGAAGAAGAAGAAGAAGAAGAAGAAGAAGAAGAAGAAGAAGAAGAAGAAAGCAUACAUGUAGUACCUCCCAUCAGACAGUCCUUUCUUCGUCCUUGCUCCUCCUCCUCCUCCUCCUCCUCCUCCUCCCAGUCUCCAGUCCACGCGUCUGUCUGCUUCGAGCGUUGAAAGUAAGAGGAGCGAAGGGAAGCAGUGACUGAAGAGGCAAAAACGUAGAGACAGAAGAGGAACUAACAGAAAUUGAAGGUAAAAGUAGUGACCGAAAAAAGAAAAGAGGAAAAGAAGGAAAGAAGUGAAGAAAAGGGAGGUGAAAAGGAAAGAGGAGGGAUAUUAAGAAACGUGAUAAAGUGGAGUGGAUAGAAAGAGGAUGAACAAAAGUGGAUGGUUGAAAGGAGAGUAGGAUUGAGUGGUUGUGAGUGAGAGAGAGAGAGAGAGAGAGAGAGAGAGAGAGAGAGAGAGAGAGAGAGAAAGGACAGAUAAAAGAACGUGAAGAGAUAACGUGGAAUAAAACAAGAGGAAGA